UUUUCUCGGGGGUUUAUUUUUUCUUACUUACCAAUCAGAAAAAUUGACCCGGCGGGGGAGGAGGGGAAUAUGACAAUAAGAGGGAAGCCCUUAUAGUUUUUUAUUAACCCACCCCAAAGAAUUGUUAUAUUAAACCGACCGGGAUAGCAUCCCUCUACCAUGGGCGGACAUUGGGGUGGCCUCGGAGAAUAAAACAACCUCCGAGUGAUUUAAAUCUAGACUAACUAGUCGAAAGUACUACAUCACUUAUUGAUCCAAAAACUUGAUCAACGGAACAAGUUACCCUAGGGAUAACAGGACGGCACGAUGGGCUUUUCUGUCUCUUACUUCCAAUSCGUGAAAUUGACCUUCCCGUGAAGAGGCGGGAAUAUGACAAUAAGACGAGAAGACCCUAUGGAGCUUUAAUUAACCGACCCAAAGAGAUCUUGAUAAUCAACCGACAGGGAUAACAUACCUCUACCAUGGGCCGACAAUUUAGGUUGGGGUGACCUCGGAGAAUAAAACAACCUCCGAGUGAUUUAAAUCUAGACUAACUAGUCGAAAGUACUACAUCACUUAUUGAUCCAAAAACUUGAUCAACGGAACAAGUUACCCUAGGGAUAACAGCGCAAUSCUAUUUUAGAGUCCAUAUCGACAAUAGGAU
rnacentral:rRNA from 1 species